rnacentral:rRNA from 1 species
UACAGAGGGUGCAAGCGUUAAUCGGAAUAACUGGGCGUAAAGGGUGCGUAGGUGGUUACUUAAGUUGGAUGUGAAAUCCCCGGGCUUAACCUGGGAACUGCAUUCAAUACUGGGUAGCUUGAGUAGAAUAGAGGGGAGUGGAAUUUCCGGUGUAGCGGUGGAAUGCGUAGAUAUCGGAAGGAACACCAGUGGCGAAGGCGGCUCCCUGGAUUCAUACUGACACUGAGGCACGAAAGCGUGGGGAGCAAACAG